UUUUGAAGAUUAGCGGCGGACGGGUGAGUAACACGUGGGUAACCUGCCUGUAAGACUGGGAUAACUCCGGGAAACCGGGGCUAAUACCGGAUAACUUCUUCCUCCGCAUGGAGGAAUAUUGAAAGAUGGCUUCGGCUAUCACUUACAGAUGGACCCGCGGCGCAUUAGCUAGUUGGUGAGGUAACGGCUCACCAAGGCRACGAUGCGUAGCCGACCUGAGAGGGUGAUCGGCCACACUGGGACUGAGACACGGCCCAGACUCCUACGGGAGGCAGCAGUAGGGAAUCUUCCGCAAUGGACGAAAGUCUGACGGAGCAACGCCGCGUGAGUGAUGAAGGUUUUCGGAUCGUAAAACUCUGUUGUUAGGGAAGAACAAGUACCGUUCGAAUAGGGCGGUACCUUGACGGUACCUAACCAGAAAGCCACGGCUAACUACGUGCCAGCAGCCGCGGUAAUACGUAGGUGGCAAGCGUUGUCCGGAAUUAUUGGGCGUAAAGCGCGCGCAGGCGGUUUCUUAAGUCUGAUGUGAAAGCCCACGGCUCAACCGUGGAGGGUCAUUGGAAACUGGGAGACUUGAGUGCAGAAGAGGAGAGUGGAAUUCCACGUGUAGCGGUGAAAUGCGUAGAGAUGUGGAGGAACACCAGUGGCGAAGGCGACUCUCUGGUCUGUAACUGACGCUGAGGCGCGAAAGCGUGGGGAGCGAACAGGAUUAGAUACCCUGGUAGUCCACGCCGUAAACGAUGAGUGCUAAGUGUUAGAGGGUUUCCGCCCUUUAGUGCUGCAGCUAACGCAUUAAGCACUCCGCCUGGGGAGUACGGCCGCAAGGCUGAAACUCAAAGGAAUUGACGGGGGCCCGCACAAGCGGUGGAGCAUGUGGUUAAUUUCGAAGCAACGCGAGACCUUUACCAGGUCUUGACAUCCUCUGACACCCUAGAGAUAGGGCUUUUCYCCUUCGGGGGAMAGAGUGAMCAGUGGUGCAUGGCUGGUCGUCAGCUCRUGUCGUGAGAUGUGCUUAAGUCCGCAACGAGSCAAUCCUGGACUUAGUGGCCCARCCAU
rnacentral:rRNA from 1 species